UGAGGAAUAUUGGUCAAUGGGGGCAACCCUGAACCAGCCAAGUCGCGUGAAGGAUGAAGGUCUUAUGGAUUGUAAACUUCUUUUAUACAGGAAUAAAUUGGGGGACGUGUCCCCUUUUGCAUGUACUGUAUGAAUAAGGAUCGGCUAACUCCGUGCCAGCAGCCGCGGUAAUACGGAGGAUCCGAGCGUUAUCCGGAUUUAUUGGGUUUAAAGGGUGCGCAGGCGGGAUGUUAAGUCGGCGGUGAAAUUUUGCAGCUCAACUGUAAAAGUGCCUUCGAUACUGGCCUCCUUGAGUGUGGAUGAAGUAGGCGGAAUUUGUGGUGUAGCGGUGAAAUGCUUAGAUAUCACGAGGAACUCCGAUUGCGCAGGCAGCUUACUAAACCACAACUGACGCUCAUGCACGAAGGCGUGGGGAUCAAACAG
rnacentral:rRNA from 1 species